rnacentral:siRNA from 1 species
UGAAUGGUAACUAAAACCGCAC